AAAAGAUGGAGUGGGAGGGAGAGAGAGAGAGAAAGAAAGACAGAAGAAAAGGAUUCCACUAGUCCUGGGUCCAGCGCUGGUCCAGUCAGUCUAGAGAUCCAGUUCCAGAGGGCAUGUGCUGGGAACUUGUCCUCCCUUU